GACGAACGCUGGCGGCGCGCCUAACACAUGCAAGUCGAACGAGCGAGAGAGAGCUUGCUUUCUCAAGCGAGUGGCGAACGGGUGAGUAACGCGUGAGGAACCUGCCUCAAAGAGGGGGACAACAGUUGGAAACGACUGCUAAUACCGCAUAAGCCCACGACCCGGCAUCGGGUUGAGGGAAAAGGAGCAAUCCGCUUUGAGAUGGCCUCGCGUCCGAUUAGCUGGUUGGUGAGGUAACGGCCCACCAAGGCGACGAUCGGUAGCCGGACUGAGAGGUUGAACGGCCACAUUGGGACUGAGACACGGCCCAGACUCCUACGGGAGGCAGCAGUGGGGAAUAUUGCACAAUGGGGGAAACCCUGAUGCAGCGACGCCGCGUGGAGGAAGAAGGUCUUCGGAUUGUAAACUCCUGUUGUUGAGGAAGAUAAUGACGGUACUCAACAAGGAAGUGACGGCUAACUACGUGCCAGCAGCCGCGGUAAAACGUAGGUCACAAGCGUUGUCCGGAAUUACUGGGUGUAAAGGGAGCGCAGGCGGGAAGACAAGUUGGAAGUGAAAUCUAUGGGCUCAACCCAUAAACUGCUUUCAAAACUGUUUUUCUUGAGUAGUGCAGAGGUAGGCGGAAUUCCCGGUGUAGCGGUGGAAUGCGUAGAUAUCGGGAGGAACACCAGUGACGGAGGCGGCCUACUGGGCACCAACUGACGCUGAGGCUCUAAAGGGUGGGUAGCAAACAGG
rnacentral:rRNA from 1 species